AUUGAACGCUGGCGGCAUGCCUUACACAUGCAAGUCGAACGGUAACGGGCCUUCGGGUGCCGACGAGUGGCGAACGGGUGAGUAAUGUAUCGGAACGUGCCCAGUAGUGGGGGAUAGCCCGGCGAAAGCCGGAUUAAUACCGCAUACGACCUACGGGUGAAAGGGGGGGAUCGCAAGACCUCUCGCUAUUGGAGCGGCCGAUAUCAGAUUAGGUAGUUGGUGGGGUAAGGGCCUACCAAGCCUGCGAUCUGUAGUUGGUCUGAGAGGACGACCAGCCACACUGGGACUGAGACACGGCCCAGACUCCUACGGGAGGCAGCAGUGGGGAAUUUUGGACAAUGGGCGCAAGCCUGAUCCAGCAAUGCAGCGUGCAGGAAGAAGGCCUUCGGGUUGUAAACUGCUUUUGUCAGGGAAGAAAUCCUCUGGGUUAAUACCUCGGGGGGAUGACGGUACCUGAAGAAUAAGCACCGGCUAACUACGUGCCAGCAGCCGCGGUAACAC
rnacentral:rRNA from 1 species